rnacentral:rRNA from 1 species
GACAGAGGCCCCGAGCGUUAGGCGGAAUCACUAGGCUUAAAGCGUGUGUAGGCGGACCCCUAAGUGUCUUGUGAAAUCCCACGGCUCACCCGUGGAACUGCUGGGCAUACUGGGGGUCUUGGGCCGUUCAGGGGCGACUGGAACAAGCGGUGGAGCGGUGAAAUGCGUAGAUAUCGCUUGGAACGCCGAAGGUGAAAACAGGUCGCUGGGGACGCGACCGGACGCUGGAGACACGAAAGCCAGGGGAGCAA